GGGUUGUGAGGUUAAGCGACUAAGCGUACACGGUGGAUGCCCUGGCAGUCAGAGGCGAUGAAGGACGUGCUAAUCUGCGAUAAGCGUCGGUAAGGUGAUAUGAACCGUUAUAACCGGCGAUUUCCGAAUGGGGAAACCCAGUGUGUUUCGACACACUAUCAUUAACUGAAUCCAUAGGUUAAUGAGGCGAACCGGGGGAACUGAAACAUCUAAGUACCCCGAGGAAAAGAAAUCAACCGAGAUUCCCCCAGUAGCGGCGAGCGAACGGGGAGCAGCCCAGAGCCUGAAUCAGUGUGUGUGUUAGUGGAAGCGUCUGGAAAGGCGCGCGAUACAGGGUGACAGCCCCGUACACAAAAAUGCACAUAUUGUGAGCUCGAUGAGUAGGGCGGGACACGUGGUAUCCUGUCUGAAUAUGGGGGGACCAUCCUCCAAGGCUAAAUACUCCUGACUGACCGAUAGUGAACCAGUACCGUGAGGGAAAGGCGAAAAGAACCCCGGCGAGGGGAGUGAAAAAGAACCUGAAACCGUGUACGUACAAGCAGUGGGAGCACAGAGCAAUCUGUGUGACUGCGUACCUUUUGUAUAAUGGGUCAGCGACUUAUAUUCUGUAGCAAGGUUAACCGAAUAGGGGAGCCGAAGGGAAACCGAGUCUUAACUGGGCGUUAAGUUGCAGGGUAUAGACCCGAAACCCGGUGAUCUAGCCAUGGGCAGGUUGAAGGUUGGGUAACACUAACUGGAGGACCGAACCGACUAAUGUUGAAAAAUUAGCGGAUGACUUGUGGCUGGGGGUGAAAGGCCAAUCAAACCGGGAGAUAGCUGGUUCUCCCCGAAAGCUAUUUAGGUAGCGCCUCGUGAAUUCAUCUCCGGGGGUAGAGCACUGUUUCGGCAAGGGGGUCAUCCCGACUUACCAACCCGAUGCAAACUGCGAAUACCGGAGAAUGUUAUCACGGGAGACACACGGCGGGUGCUAACGUCCGUCGUGAAGAGGGAAACAACCCAGACCGCCAGCUAAGGUCCCAAAGUCAUGGUUAAGUGGGAAACGAUGUGGGAAGGCCCAGACAGCCAGGAUGUUGGCUUAGAAGCAGCCAUCAUUUAAAGAAAGCGUAAUAGCUCACUGGUCGAGUCGGCCUGCGCGGAAGAUGUAACGGGGCUAAACCAUGCACCGAAGCUGCGGCAGCGACACUGUGUGUUGUUGGGUAGGGGAGCGUUCUGUAAGCCUGUGAAGGUGUGCUGUGAGGUAUGCUGGAGGUAUCAGAAGUGCGAAUGCUGACAUAAGUAACGAUAAAGCGGGUGAAAAGCCCGCUCGCCGGAAGACCAAGGGUUCCUGUCCAACGUUAAUCGGGGCAGGGUGAGUCGACCCCUAAGGCGAGGCCGAAAGGCGUAGUCGAUGGAAAACAGGUUAAUAUUCCUGUACUUGGUGUUACUGCGAAGGGGGGACGGAGAAGGCUAUGUUGGCCGGGCGACGGUUGUCCCGGUUUAAGCGUGUAGGCUGGUUUUCCAGGCAAAUCCGGAAAAUCAAGGCUGAGGCGUGAUGACGAGGCACUACGGUGCUGAAGCAACAAAUGCCCUGCUUCCAGGAAAAGCCUCUAAGCAUCAGGUAACAUCAAAUCGUACCCCAAACCGACACAGGUGGUCAGGUAGAGAAUACCAAGGCGCUUGAGAGAACUCGGGUGAAGGAACUAGGCAAAAUGGUGCCGUAACUUCGGGAGAAGGCACGCUGAUAUGUAGGUGAAGCGACUUGCUCGUGGAGCUGAAAUCAGUCGAAGAUACCAGCUGGCUGCAACUGUUUAUUAAAAACACAGCACUGUGCAAACACGAAAGUGGACGUAUACGGUGUGACGCCUGCCCGGUGCCGGAAGGUUAAUUGAUGGGGUCAGCGCAAGCGAAGCUCUUGAUCGAAGCCCCGGUAAACGGCGGCCGUAACUAUAACGGUCCUAAGGUAGCGAAAUUCCUUGUCGGGUAAGUUCCGACCUGCACGAAUGGCGUAAUGAUGGCCAGGCUGUCUCCACCCGAGACUCAGUGAAAUUGAACUCGCUGUGAAGAUGCAGUGUACCCGCGGCAAGACGGAAAGACCCCGUGAACCUUUACUAUAGCUUGACACUGAACAUUGAGCCUUGAUGUGUAGGAUAGGUGGGAGGCUUUGAAGUGUGGACGCCAGUCUGCAUGGAGCCGACCUUGAAAUACCACCCUUUAAUGUUUGAUGUUCUAACGUUGACCCGUGAUCCGGGUUGCGGACAGUGUCUGGUGGGUAGUUUGACUGGGGCGGUCUCCUCCUAAAGAGUAACGGAGGAGCACGAAGGUUGGCUAAUCCUGGUCGGACAUCAGGAGGUUAGUGCAAUGGCAUAAGCCAGCUUGACUGCGAGCGUGACGGCGCGAGCAGGUGCGAAAGCAGGUCAUAGUGAUCCGGUGGUUCUGAAUGGAAGGGCCAUCGCUCAACGGAUAAAAGGUACUCCGGGGAUAACAGGCUGAUACCGCCCAAGAGUUCAUAUCGACGGCGGUGUUUGGCACCUCGAUGUCGGCUCAUCACAUCCUGGGGCUGAAGUAGGUCCCAAGGGUAUGGCUGUUCGCCAUUUAAAGUGGUACGCGAGCUGGGUUUAGAACGUCGUGAGACAGUUCGGUCCCUAUCUGCCGUGGGCGCUGGAGAACUGAGGGGGGCUGCUCCUAGUACGAGAGGACCGGAGUGGACGCAUCACUGGUGUUCGGGUUGUCAUGCCAAUGGCACUGCCCGGUAGCUAAAUGCGGAAGAGAUAAGUGCUGAAAGCAUCUAAGCACGAAACUUGCCCCGAGAUGAGUUCUCCCUGACCCUUUAAGGGUCCUGAAGGAACGUUGAAGACGACGACGUUGAUAGGCCGGGUGUGUAAGCGCAGCGAUGCGUUGAGCUAACCGGUACUAAUGAACCGUGAGGCUUAACCUUACAACGCCGAAG
rnacentral:rRNA from 1 species